rnacentral:misc_RNA from 1 species
AUUUAUUUAUUUAUUUAUUUUUUGUGGAAAGAAUGUUUGCAGCUAAAGGCACUAACUAAACUUUCAAAAAAAUGUUUCGUAUUUCCUUUACUCUUUGUCACAUUUAUUCCAGAUACUUGUAAGAGCUAUCCCAAUAAAACAAGGUCACAAAUUGAAAAUCAUAUGGCCAAUAACUCCAGGCAUUCUUCACUACAAGGAAGGGCCAUGCAGGUAUCUUAGCCAUCUUAUUGGCCAUGAAGGAGAAGGAUCUUUGUUUU